CAGGCCUAACACAUGCAAGUCGGACGGUAGCACAGAGAGCUUGCUCUUGGGUGACGAGUGGCGGACGGGUGAGUAAUGUCUGGGGAUCUGCCCGAUAGAGGGGGAUAACCACUGGAAACGGUGGCUAAUACCGCAUAACGUCGCAAGA
rnacentral:rRNA from 1 species